UUUUUGGUAUGAGUAAGUCCCAUGCGAUAUUUGGGACAUACUUAUACUAAAA
rnacentral:pre_miRNA from 1 species